rnacentral:misc_RNA from 1 species
UGGUUUUGAUACAAUAUGCAAGGUUAAUUCACAACUAAUUAGUAAUGUCUGCACUGAUGCACUUUCUGCAGAAAAGUAUUAUUACUUCAUUCGUUUAAUGGGCCGCAAAGCAUCUCAUGUUGCUUUGGAGUGUACACUCCAGUCACACCCAAACAUGGUCAUUCUUGCCGAGGAGGUGGCUGCAUCAAAACUUACUAUUUUUGACCUGACAAAUCAGAUCUGUGAUGCAGUCCAAGCUAGGGCAGAGAAAGACAAAAAUCAUGGCGUAAUCCUCAUUCCUGAGGGGCUGGUUGAAAGUAUUCCUGAAUUAUAUGCUCUCCUUCAG